rnacentral:rRNA from 1 species
GAUGAACGCUGGCGGCGUGCCUAAUACAUGCAAGUCGAGCGAACAGAUGAGGAGCUUGCUCCUCUGACGUUAGCGGCGGACGGGUGGGUAACACGUGGAUAACCUACCUAUAAGACUGGGAUAACUUCGGGAAACCGGAGCUACUACCGGAUAAUAUAUUGAACCGCAUGGUUCAAUAUUGAAAGACGGUUUUGCUGUCACUUAUAGAUGGAUCCGCGCCGCAUUAGCUAGUUGGUAAGGUAACGGCUUACCAAGGCAACGAUGCGUAGCCGACCUGAGAGGGUGAUCGGCCACACUGGAACUGAGACACGGUCCAGACUCCUACGGGAGGCAGCAGUAGGGAAUCUUCCGCAAUGGGCGAAAGCCUGACGGAGCAACGCCGCGUGAGUGAUGAAGGUCUUCGGAUCGUAAAACUCUGUUAUUAGGGAAGAACAAAUGUGUAAGUAACUAUGCACGUCUUGACGGUACCUAAUCAGAAAGCCACGGCUAACUACGUG